rnacentral:rRNA from 1 species
AGUGAACGUUGGCGGCGUGGAUUAGGCAUGCAAGUCGAGCGAGAACCGUAGCAAUACGGGGACAGCGGCGAAAGGGACAGUAAUGUGUAGGUACCUACCCCGAGGUCUGGGAUAGCUGCGGGAAACUGCAGGUAAUACCGGAUAAUGUCUUCGGACCAAAGGUGUGAUUCCACCUUGGGAGGGGCCUGCAUCCUAUUAGCUUGUUGGCGGGGUAACGGCCCACCAAGGCGACGAUGGGUAGCGGGUGUGAGAGCACGACCCGCGUCAUUGGGACUGAGCCACUGCCCAGACACCGACGGGUGGCUGCAGUCGAGGAUCUUCGGCAAUGGGCGCAAGCCUGACCGAGCGACGCCGCGUGCGGGAUGAAGGCCUUCGGGUUGUAAACCGCUGUCGUAGAGGAGGAAAUGCAGGGGGGUUCUCCCUUCUGUUUGACCUAUUCUAGGAGGAAGGACGGGCUAAGUUCGUGCCAGCCGCCGCCGUAA